rnacentral:rRNA from 1 species
AACGGCAGCACGGGUGCUUGCACCUGGUGGCGAGUGGCGAACGGGUGAGUAAUACAUCGGAACAUGUCCUGUAGUGGGGGAUAGCCCGGCGAAAGCCGGAUUAAUACCGCAUACGAUCUACGGAUGAAAGCGGGGGACCUUCGGGCCUCGCGCUAUAGGGUUGGCCGAUGGCUGAUUAGCUAGUUGGUGGGGUAAAGGCCUACCAAGGCGACGAUCAGUAGCUGGUCUGAGAGGACGACCAGCCACACUGGGACUGAGACACGGCCCAGACUCCUACGGGAGGCAGCAGUGGGGAAUUUUGGACAAUGGGCGAAAGCCUGAUCCAGCAAUGCCGCGUGUGUGAAGAAGGCCUUCGGGUUGUAAAGCACUUUUGUCCGGAAAGAAAUCCUUGGCUCUAAUACAGUCGGGGGAUGACGGUACCGGAAGAAUAAGCACCGGCUAACUACGUGCCAGCAGCCGCGGUAAUACGUAGGGUGCAAGCGUUAAUCGGAAUUACUGGGCGUAAAGCGUGCGCAGGCGGUUUGCUAAGACCGAUGUGAAAUCCCCGGGCUCAACCUGGGAACUGCAUUGGUGACUGGCAGGCUAGAGUAUGGCAGAGGGGGGUAGAAUUCCACGUGUAGCAGUGAAAUGCGUAGAGAUGUGGAGGAAUACCGA